AGCAGCCGCGGUAAUUCCAGCUCCAAUAGCGUAUAUUAAAGUUGUUGCAGUUAAAAAGCUCGUAGUUGAAUUUCGGGGUUCUACCGUUGGUCGGGCUAUUGUCUGUACUGGCGUGUAGAAUUUCUACCUUCUGGGGAACUAUCAUGUUAUUAAUUUAGCGUGGUAGGAAACCAGAACCUUUACCUUGAGAAAAUUAGAGUGUUCAAAGCAGGCUUAUGUCUGAAUACAUUAGCAUGGAAUAAUAAAAUAGGACGGUGGUCCUGUUUUGUUGGUUUCUGAAUCACCGUAAUGAUUAAUAGGGAUAGUUGGGGGCAUUAGUAUUCAAUUGUCAGAGGUGAAAUUCUUGGAUUUAUUGAAGACUAACUACUGCGAAAGCAUUUGCCAAGGAUGUUUUCAUUAAUCAAGAACGAAAGUUAGGGGAUCGAAGACGAUCAGAUACCGUCGUAGUCUUUAACCAUAAACUAUGUCCGACUAGGGAUCGGAUGAUGUUAAUUUUUAAUGUACUCAUUCGGCGCCUUAC
rnacentral:rRNA from 1 species